CUCGUCCGGAGUUCUCCCGCGCACGCCCAGAGGCCGCCCCGCUCCCGCUCACCGCUUCUCGGCGUCCCCAGGACUGGAAUGCCCCUCUGUCCCUCCGAGACCCCCAGCCUGCCGCCCGGCACCGCCUCCUCGGCGUCGGGUCAGAGAGACAGAGACAGAGCUCAAAUCCUCCGAUUCACUCCCCAAGUGCCCCCAAAGGAGCCAGGAACCCCAUCCCUGGCUCCCACGUGGAAGGCAGGAGCCGAGUACUUGGGCCAGCAUUUGAUAAUGCAUCAGGAGGAAGCUGGAUCAGAAGCGUGCAGCAGCCUGGAGUGGAACCAGGCCCUGGGUAUGCGGUGCUGGCAUUCUGCCACUCAACCCACCCCGCCACAGCGCCCACCCUGGUCAGGGUCUUGCUGUUCUCAGGGUGAAGGUCUUUCACCUCCUUGGUUGCAUUAACUCCUUGGUCUGCUAUUUUGGGUAGCUAUUGUCAAUGAAAUUGCUUUCUGAAUCGUUG